GCCACCUACGGGAGGCAGCAGUGAGGAAUAUUGGUCAAUGGACGAGAGUCUGAACCAGCCAAGUAGCGUGAAGGAUGACUGCCCUAUGGGUUGUAAACUUCUUUUAUAUGGGAAUAAAACAGGGUAUGCAUAACCUCUUGUAUGUACCAUAUGAAUAAGGAUCGGCUAACUCCGUGCCAGCAGCCGCGGUAAUACGGAGGAUCCGAGCGUUAUCCGGAUUUAUUGGGUUUAAAGGGAGCGUAGGUGGAUUGUUAAGUCAGUUGUGAAAGUUUGCGGCUAAAUCGUAGAAUUGCAGUUGAAAAUGG
rnacentral:rRNA from 1 species